rnacentral:rRNA from 1 species
GCUUACGGCCAUACCACCCUGAACGCGCCCGAUCUCGUCUGAUCUCGGAAGCCAAGCAGGGUCGGGCCUGGUCAGUACUUGGACGGGAGACCGCCUGGGAAACCAGGUGCUGUAAGCU